rnacentral:rRNA from 1 species
AAUAGAUACCCAGGUAGUCCACGCCGUAAACGAUGAGUGCUAGGUGUCGGGGGGUCCUACCCUCGGUGCCGAAGGUAACCCAUUAAGCACUCCGCCUGGGGAGUACGGCCGCAAGGCUGAAACUCAAAGGAAUUGACGGGGGGCCCGCACAAGCGGUGGAGCAUGUGGUUUAAUUCGAAGCAACGCGAAGAACCUUACCAGGGCUUGACAUCCCGCUGACCGCUCCAGAGAUGGAGCUUCCCUUCGGGGCAGCGGUGACAGGUGGUGCAUGGUUGUCGUCAGCUCGUGUCGUGAGAUGUUGGGUUCAGUCCCGCAACGAGCGCAACCCUUAUCGCUAGUUGCCAGCAUUCAGUUGGGCACGUCUAGCGAGACAGCCGGUGAAAGCCGGAGGAAGGUGGGGAUGACGUCAAAUCAUCAUGCCCCUUAUGUCCUGGGCUACACACGUGCUACAAUGGCCGGUACAGAGGGCGUGCGAUGUCGUGAGGCGGAGCGAAUCCCGAUAAAGUACGUCUCGGUUCGGA